rnacentral:rRNA from 1 species
AUGCACAAAGGGUCUAUAGCUCAAGCAUUGGAUGCUGACAAAAUAGAAGUUCCUUCACCAAAGGAAGAAAGCAAUUCCACCGAUUCGGAAGCUGCUACAGAUACUGAAAACUUUGAAAUUAGUGACGACGACGAUGAUGAUCGUAAUCACAAGCACCGAAGAAGAGAGGCUAUGCCUCAACCUUUUGGUGAGAGUAUCGAAGAGCAAGCUGCAGGGAGGCCUUUUAAAAGAAGGCCCAGGAUUUCUGGUAAUGGGCAGCCUUUUGGUGGAGCUGAUUCACGUGGGGAAGCACAGAACAACUUCAUACCAAAAUUCAAGAGGCGUCCUGGACCAGGAGCUCACAGUCGGGGAGGUAGAGUGAACCAGUCCUUCCAUUCAGCUUCUGCUGCUGCUCGCCCUCCUAUGGCACGGGGAAGAGGACGGAAUGGUGCACCCUGGACUCAUCAUGACCCAAGAUUUAACACACUUGACAUGAUUGAUUUUGCAUCACAGAUGGCCUCACAAGGACCACCCACACAUCCUAACUUAUUUAUGGGUCCUCCACUGCCGAGUGGCGGUGGUGCUCAAAACGGUCCGUGGGGUCCGUAUGGAUUUAUGCCUGGAAUGCCUAAUGGAAUGAUGGAUCCAAUUCACCCACUUGGAAUGCAGGGCCCUAUUCAGCCUCCUUUAAUUGAUCUUGGCAUGCCUCGUCAGCGUUGUAGAGACUUUGAGGAGCGUGGAUUUUGCUUGAGAGGGGAUAUGUGCCCCAUGGAGCAUGGUGUAAAUAGAAUUGUUGUUGAAGAUAUGCAGAGCCUAUCACAGUUCAAUCUUCCAGUCUCAGUUCCAAAUGCUCCAGGACUAGGUAUCCAAAGUGAGACAGGGACUGCUCAUGUUAACUUAACAAACUUAGGGGGCAGUAAAGGUGUUCCUGCAAAAGAUAUCAAAUCUGGUGUGGCAGAUAACCCAUCGAAGCUAAAUGGAAGCACUGCUUCAGCUGUUGCUGAUGCUGAUGUAUAUGAUCCUGAUCAGCCCCUGUGGAACAAUGAACGGCCUGAAGCAUCUAGUGCUGGUUUUGCACAUACUAAUGAUGGAAUAUGGAAUGCUGAAACCUCAAGCUAUGAAGCAGGGUGGGAGCAUGCAAACCAGGGUUUUGCAGCUGAUGAUUCACAAAAUCCAAAGUCUUCUGUUUGGGGGAGAAUAGCAUCAAAGAGAAAAUCCGGGCCUGGUAAAACAGCUAAUACUACAUCGACAAGUGCAACUGGAAACCAAAGAAGUGACUACAAUGAUGAUAUGGCUCCUAGCACUGUCCAAGUAAAGCCUGCUUCUAAGGAUACUAAUGGUCGACCCAGUUCAAGAAUGUCUGCAGAUGUGGGCCGGCAAAGUAAUAGUAGGACCUCUCACAAAGCAUCUCGCACACUUUAUGUAAAUGGCAUUCCACCAGAAAGCAACAGAUGGGAGGCCCUUCUGUCGCACUUCGAAAAAUUCGGUCAAGUAAUAGAUAUAUAUGUUCCAGCUAACAGUGAGAAAGCUUUUAUCCAGUUCUCUAAAAGGGAAGAAGCUGAAGCUGCCCUAAAAGCUCCAGACGCUGUGAUGGGAAACCGUUUUAUAAGGCUAUGGUGGGCGAACAGAGACAGGAUUACUGACGAGGGAGAUGGUAGAAUCUCUGCGAAACCUCCGCUGUCAAAUUCUGCCCUUCCCCAACCAUCUUCAUCCAACAGAGGCAAGGAUCUUCAAUCUACAACUCCAAGGGCCAGUUCUGGAUCUUCUGCAUCAGGCCCUGGUAUAGGUCCUAAAAAGUUGCCUGCCAACAGUAUUACGUCAAUACCUCCCCCUGCUCCCAAAAGGCAAGAAAAUCUGGAAAUGCUGGAAGCAAUUCGUAAAAAACAAGAUAUGUUAGCUCAGCAGCGUGAUGAGUUACUUCAGCGGUUAGAGAAAUAUGCGAAACAAACAAGUUCAGCAAAUUCAGUAAAACAGGCAGAGGCUGGUGGAAAAACAGUUGGGUCAAACACUGUGGGGAAAGUGGGCGAUGUCAGUUCCAUGAACACUGGGACAGAAGGGCCGCAAGAGGUCGCUGGUACACUGGAAAAGAAAAUUUCUGGGGAGUUGGCUUCAUCUUCCCCAAAAUAUGCUCCAACAUCCACACAGAAACCAGCUGUAGCUGCAAAGCAGCUAACACCUCUGUUAGCACCACCGCAGAAUAGGUUUAAGCUUGACAACCGGACCACAUCGUUUAGGAUCCUUCCUCCUUUGCCACCUGAAAUCGCAAAAGAAACUGUCUUGAAAGAUCAUUUUGCAGCAUUCGGUGAGCUUUCAUCUGUUGUACUGGAAGACACUGAAGCCCACAACCAUGAUACAACCUUAAAGCCUUCCCUGAGUUGCUCGGCUUGUGUGACGUACGCAACGCGGCAAUCUGCUGAGAAAGCAUUUAUUAGUGGCAAAUCUUGUAAAGGGCACAUGCUACGGUUUAUGUGGUUGACGGCCUCUCCUGGCUCUAAUAACCAAUCGAGACCUCAGAAAAGUUUAAUUCCCGUCAGGCCCACUGGCAUCUCAGGACAAACUGGCAACAUGACAUCUGAGUCCCAAAGCCCUGUUGGGAAAAUCUCAUCUGCUGCCACAUCUGCUACAGCAGCCAUUCCUCAUAGUGAAUCCGUUCCAACUGCAGAAAGUUCAAAGAUUUUUCCUAUUGGGAUUUCCAAAGAAUUAUCUACCAGUUCCUCUCUAUCAUCAAAUGUUGAGUGUCCUCCUGGAAAUGAUUCCACAAUGAAUGCCGUCUUUACAGACCCGGAUGUUCCACAGUGA